rnacentral:rRNA from 1 species
GAUGAACGCUGGCGGCGUGCCUAAUACAUGCAAGCCGAGCGAACGGACGAGAAGCUUGCUUCUCUGAUGUUAGCGGCGGACGGGUGAGUAACACGUGGAUAACCUACCUAUAAGACUGGGAUAACUUCGGGAAACCGGAGCUAAUACCGGAUAAUAUUUUGAACCGCAUGGUUCAAAAGUGAAAGACGGUCUUGCUGUCACUUAUAGAUGGAUCCGCGCUGCAUCAGCUAGUUGGUAAGGUAACGGCUUACCAAGGCAACGAUGCAUAGCCGACCUGAGAGGGUGAUCCGCCCCACUGGAACUUGGACACGGUCCAGACUCCUACGGGAGGCAGCCGUAGGGAAUCUUCCGCAAAGGGCGAAAGCCUGACGGAGCAACGCCGCGUGAGUGAUGAAGGUCUUCGGAUCGUAAAACUCUGUUAUUAGGGAAGAACAUAUGUGUAAGUAACUGUGCACAUCUUGACGGUACCUAAUCAGAAAGCCACGGCUAACUACGUG